UACGAAGGGGGCUAGCGUUGUUCGGAAUCACUGGGCGUAAAGCGCGCGUAGGCGGAUUGUUAAGUCGGGGGUGAAAUCCUGAGGCUCAACCUCAGAACUGCCUUCGAUACUGGCGAUCUUGAGUCCGGGAGAGGUGAGUGGAAUUCCUAGUGUAGAGGUGAAAUUCGUAGAUAUUAGGAAGAACACCAGUGGCGAAGGCGGCUCACUGGCCCGGUACUGACGCUGAGGCGCGAAAGCGUGGGGAGCAAAC
rnacentral:rRNA from 1 species